rnacentral:sRNA from 1 species
AAAGGAAAGAGUUUCAUCAACAUGACAAAUCUUUUGUGGGAUAAGAUAAGAUCUAUCUUUUCAAGGGCAGGUGUGUUCAACAUCACCAUGUCUUUCUCAAGCUUAUUUCCAUC